AACUUAGCUGCACAACAAACAAGUAGCACAAACAGAUUCCUUCCCUUGAUUUCCUUGUGCCUGACUGGUUCCAUUCAUGCCGCAUGGGGAAGGCAUACAUCAAGAUCACAAUCUCUGACAGUCAUAAUUAACCUACUCAUUGUGCAGAAAUCAAAUGUUUAUUACUGCUCUUGCUACCUUACCUGACAACCGCACCGAUCAUUGUCAGAUCAAGCCACACAAAAUAAACUCCAUGUUAAUUUUAGAUGACCACAGUACGGACAUGCAUAGUCACAAGUACCCUAUUGGCGAUCAACCUGUAGUCAACUAUCCAGUACGUCACAGCAUAACCUCAAUCAGCAUCAUCCCCAGUCCUUGAUACACCGGCCUGACCUCCAGCAUUCGCAUCAUCAUCAGUUCUCUCGGCAUGGGGGCUACCUAUGGGCUCUUCAGCCUGCAGCGCCUCCGCACCUUGUUCCAGCAUCUCCUUCUCAUCAUUUUGCUGAGUACCUGCCCAAAUUAUGCAUACUCAGACUGUUGAUAUUCAGGAGUACAGGAAGAAAGCAUCAAGUACGGGGACAAAAACAAAAAAACAGACAAUACAUGCAGACUGGAGAAUCAACAUUCAGGAUUCUAGCCACAAUUCUGCAGCUAUAUAUUCACUUCAAUGGAAUUGAGAUAUAUAACAGCAAACACUCGCUUUAUGAGCUCAUUGUCAUUCGCAAUACAUAGCCAGAGAUGUACAAAUAAAGAGAUGAGUCAUAAAAGAACUUAAGAGCCAUAAAAAGCAAUGGUAGCUUUGUGUUGCAGGAAUUGAAAUUUUACCACAUAAAUGGAUAACAUAAGUCCCGCUUUUGACUGGAAAAAGGUGAAACACACCAAAGGUGAAGUGUGGUAGCAGUGUCCUUUAACUUGUACGCCUUCUGCAUCAGGUAGUCCGUAAAUAUAAAAAUAAUUAUCGUAAUCUAGUGUUUCUUACGAUUUCAAGAUGCCUCCAAAAUGCUACUUGUACUGAGCACAAACUUUUUUUUUACUUCUCUGAUCACCUUAGAGUUUUGCCA
rnacentral:lncRNA from 1 species